UACGUAGGGUGCAAGCGUUGUCCGGAAUUAUUGGGCGUAAAGAGCUCGUAGGCGGUCUGUCGCGUCGGCUGUGAAAUCCCGAGGCUCAACCUCGGGUCUGCAGUCGAUACGGGCAAACUGGAGUGUUGCAGGGGAGACUGGAAUUCCUGGUGUAGCGGUGAAAUGCGUAGAUAUCUGGAGGAACACCGGUGGCGAAGGCGGCAUCCUGGACCGAGAUUGACGCUGAGGCGCGAAAGCCAGGGGAGCAAAGCGGG
rnacentral:rRNA from 1 species